rnacentral:rRNA from 1 species
UACGGAGGGUGCAAGCGUUGUCCGGAUUUAUUGGGUUUAAAGGGCGUGUAGGCGGCCAACUAAGUCCGACGUGAAAUCCCCAGGCUUAACCUGGGAACUGCGUCGGAUACUGGAUGGCUUGAAUCCGGGAGAGGGAUGCAGAAUUCCAGGUGUAGCGGUGAAAUGCGUAGAUAUCUGGAGGAAUACCGGUGGCGAAGGCGGCAUCCUGGACCGGCAUUGACGCUGAAGCGCGAAAGCUAGGGGAGCAAACGGG